UGGGGAAUUUUGGACAAUGGGCGCAAGCCUGAUCCAGCCAUGCCGCGUGAGUGAAGAAGGCCUUCGGGUUGUAAAGCUCUUUCGGACGGGAAGAAAUGGCGGGCUCUAACAUAGCCUGUCGAUGACGGUACCGUAAGAAGAAGCACCGGCUAACUACGUGCCAGCAGCCGCGGUAAUACGUAGGGGGCAAGCGUUGUCCGGAUUUACUGGGUGUAAAGGGCGCGCAGGCGGGAUAAAAAGUCAGUGGUGAAAUCCUACAGCUUAACUGUAGAACUGCCUUGGAUACUUUUAUUCUUGAGUUCGGGAGAGAGAGACGGAAUUCCAGGUGUAGUGGUGAAAUACGUAGAUAUCUGGAAGAACACCAGUUGCGAAGGCGGUCUCUUGGUCCGACACUGACGCUGAGGCGCGAAAGCGUG
rnacentral:rRNA from 1 species